GACGAACGCUGGCGGCGUGCCUAACACAUGCAAGUCGAGCGGAGAUAAUUAAAAGCUUGCUAUUGAUUAUCUUAGCGGCGGACGGGUGAGUAACGCGUGGGCAACCUGCCUUGCACAGGGGGAUAACACCGGGAAACUUGCGCUAAUACCGCAAACACCAACGGAAAGAUAUUUUCGUGCCGUAAAAGGCGUAAUCCGGUGGUAGAGGGGCCCGCGUCCAAGUAGCUAGUUGGUGGUGUAACGGACCACCAAGGCGACGAUUGGUAGCCGAACUGAGAGGUUGAUCGGCCACAUUGGGACUGAGACACGGCCCAGACUCCUACGGGAGGCAGCAGUGGGGAAUAUUGCACAAUGGGGGAAACCCUGAUGCAGCAACGCCGCGUGAAGGAUGAAGGUUUUCGGAUUGUAAACUUCUUUAGUCAGGGACGAAUAAAUGACGGUACCUGAAGAAUAAGCCACGGCUAACUACGUGCCAGCAGCCGCGGUAACAC
rnacentral:rRNA from 1 species